GACGAACGCUGGCGGCGUGCUUAACACAUGCAAGUCGAACGGAAAGGCCCUGCUUUUGUGGGGUGCUCGAGUGGCGAACGGGUGAGUAACACGUGAGUAACCUGCCCUUGACUUUGGGAUAACUUCAGGAAACUGGGGCUAAUACCGGAUAGGAGCUCCUGCUGCAUGGUGGGGGUUGGAAAGUUUCGGCGGUUGGGGAUGGACUCGCGGCUUAUCAGCUUGUUGGUGGGGUAGUGGCUUACCAAGGCUUUGACGGGUAGCCGGCCUGAGAGGGUGACCGGCCACAUUGGGACUGAGAUACGGACCAGACUCCUACGGGAGGCAGCAGUGGGGAAUAUUGCACAAUGGGCGGAAGCCUGAUGCAGCAACGCCGCGUGCGGGAUGACGGCCUUCGGGUUGUAAACCGCUUUCGCCUGUGACGAAGCGUGAGUGACGGUAAUGGGUAAAGAAGCACCGGCUAACUAC
rnacentral:rRNA from 1 species